CAGCCGCCGCGGGAAUACGAAGGGGGCUAGCGUUGUUCGGAUUUACUGGGCGUAAAGGGCGCGUAGGCGGGCGAUUAAGUCAGAGGUGAAAUCCCAAGGCUCAACCUUGGAACUGCCUUUGAUACUGGUUGUCUUGAGUACGGUAGAGGGGGAUGGAAUUCCGCGUGUAGCAGUGAAAUGCGUAGAUAUGCGGAGGAACACCGAUGGCGAAGGCAAUCCCCUGGACCUGUACUGACGCUCAUGCACGAAAGCGUGGGGAGCAAACAGGAUUAGAUACCCCAGUAGUCCCUGUCUCUUAUAC
rnacentral:rRNA from 1 species